AGGAGACUCACUACUGAAAUCUCUGGGAAGUAUGAGGAACUUCAACGGGCUUUUUUACAACAAUACAGGUGAAGAGGAUUUCUAGGAAGUACCUGAGGAUUGAAAGACCCCUGACCUGUAUAAAGAGGGACUAAACAUGUGAUGAGUGUACUUGUUCUGAGCUGAAACUGUGAUAAAGUUGUGACCAAAAAGGAACACAAAGGAAGGACUGCUCCAGCCAGAGCCCAUCUGUGUUGAGAUAGCCGGGUCACCUUUCCCUUUAUAUCAUGCUACCACAUGGUGCCUCCUUCUAACAGCAGAGAUA